UGAAGUAUUUCGGUAUGUAAACUUCUAUCAGCAGGGAAGAAAAUGACGGUACCUGACUAAGAAGCCCCGGCUAACUACGUGCCAGCAGCCGCGGUAAUACGUAGGGGGCAAGCGUUAUCCGGAUUUACUGGGUGUAAAGGGAGCGUAGACGGCUGGGCAAGUCUGAUGUGAAAGGCCUGGGCUCAACCCGUGGACUGCUUUGGAAACUGUGCAGCUAGAGUGUCGGAGAGGUAAGUGGAAUUCCUAGUGUAGCGGUGAAAUGCGUAGAUAUUAGGAGGAACACCAGUGGCGAAGGCGGCUUACUGGACGAUGACUGACGUUGAGGCUCGAAAGCGUGGGGAGCAAACAGGAUUAGAUACCCUGGUAGUCCACGCCGUAAACGAUGACUGCUAGGUGUCGGGUAGCAAAGCUAUUCGGUGCCGCAGCUAACGCAAUAAGUAGUCCACCUGGGGAGUACGUUCGCAAGAAUGAAACUC
rnacentral:rRNA from 1 species